rnacentral:rRNA from 1 species
AUUGAACGCUGGCGGCAUGCUUUACACAUGCCAGUCGAACGGUAACAGGUCUUCGGAUGCUGACGAGUGGCGCACGGGUGCGUAAUACAUCGGAACGUGCCUAGUAGUGGGGGAUAACUACUCGAAAGAGUAGCUAAUACCGCAUGAGAUCUACGGAUGAAAGCAGGGGACCUUCGGGCCUUGUGCUACUAGAGCGGCUGAUGGCAGAUUAGGUAGUUGGUGGGGUAAAGGCUUACCAAGCCUGCGAUCUGUAGCUGGUCUGAGAGGACGACCAGCCACACUGGGACUGAGACACGGCCCAGACUCCUACGGGAGGCAGCAGUGGGGAAUUUUGGACAAUGGGCGAAAGCCUGAUCCAGCAAUGCCGCGUGCAUGAUGAAGGCCCUCGGGUUGUAAACUGCUUUUGUACGGAACGAAAAGCCUGGGGCUAAUAUCCCCGGGUCAUGACGGUACCGAAAGAAUAAGCACCGGCUAACUACGUG